rnacentral:rRNA from 1 species
UACGAAGGGGGCUAGCGUUGUUCGGAAUCACUGGGCGUAAAGGGCGCGUAGGCGGCGCAGCGUGUCGGCUUGUGAAAGCCCGGGGCUCAACCCCGGAGGUGCGGCCGAAACUGCUGUGCUGGAGGCCGGAAGAGGAGGGUGGAAUACCCAGUGUAGAGGUGAAAUUCGUAGAUAUUGGGUGGAACACCGGUGGCGAAAGCGGCUCUCUGGUCCGGACCUGACGCUGAGGCGCGAAAGCGUGGGGAGCAAACAGG